rnacentral:lncRNA from 1 species
GAACAGUUGUAGGGGAGGGAAAGUUCAUUUGAGGGCUCACAGUUUCAGAAGUCUUAAUCCAUAGACAGCAGGCUCCAUACCUUGGGGUUUGAGGUGAGGAAGAAGAGUGUGGCAGAGGGAAGCAGCUCACAGAACGAUCAGAAAGCAGAGAGAGGCUCCUCUCUCCAGAUACACAAAUAUAUACCCUAAGACACACCUCCAGUGACCCUUCUCCUCCAGCCACACUCUACCUGCCCACAACCACCACCCAGUUAAUCCCAUCAAGGGAUCAAUUUACUGAUGGGAUUAAGGCUGGUGGGCCAAUCCUUUCUCCUCUAAACCUUCUUGCACUGUCUCACACAUGAGCUUUUGGGGGACAUCUAAUAUCUAAACCAUAACAGUACUGAGCUGAUAUGUCAUCAGAAAGAACUCAUUUCUUUUCAUAUGAAGCUUUCAAGUCACAAAUUUAAUAUAUUUUCCAUCUUAACUAAGCACAUAUCACAUAUUGUGGCCAAAACUUUUGUAGUUGGAGCUAUGGCAGCAAAAUUAGCAUUUUUUUUUUUUUUUACUUCUUUACUAUUUCACAUAUAGAUUUGUCUUACUAUAGAUCUUAGCAACCUCAGGAUAUGAUUUCCUUAUAAAGUUUGGAAACUUAUUUUAUCACUUAAAGAAAGCACUUUAUAUCUUUUUUUAGCAUGUCCAAAUUGCCAGCAUCAUUCUCUUGCACUCUGGGGCCAUUCUUAGGUAAAAUAAGGGUUACUUGAACCAAAAGCACUGUGAAACUGUGUAUCAGUCU